rnacentral:lncRNA from 10 species
UUCCUUCUACAGUUGGUGCACAGCUGCACUACGUUUCCCUGCGUCCCCAGCAAGUAGGAGGAACCAUAUGACGAGUUCUGCCAAUGGAUAUGAACAGAAGUGCUGGUCACUGUUUCCAGGCCUUGAUGGUAAAAAUCCUCCUCCCAGCCCUCCACGUUCUCUAUCUGUCCCCAUCUGCAACUGAAUGCAGAGAAGGAAGGUGUCAUAGAAGAUGCAGAGCCACAUGAUGAAAGGAGCCUGGCUCCCUGGAUGGUGGAACAGUCUCCACAAUGACCCUCAUUGGACUGUGAGGAUCAGGUUCUGAGAUAUGGAUUGGUGUCCAAGUAGUUUAUUGGGAGGUGAUCCCAGGAAACAUCAGUAUACAGGCAAGUGGGAGAGUGAGAAGGAAAAGGGAUGGAUUCCAAUGAAUGGCACAUUAUCUACCAGUUUGUACUGUGGCAGCUGGAGCUCAGUCACACAAGGAAACUCUGGGAGGCAAUACAGGACAUAUCUCAGAGCUAUCCUAACUGAAAGGUAAGACUAUCUAUCAUAUUUAUAUACUUUCCUCUCAUUGUUUGAGAGCUGC